GCUCGGGUGGUGGAAUGGCAGACACGCAUGUUUGAGGGGCAUGUGCCGCAAGGCGUGGGGGUUCGACUCCCCCCCCGAGCACCA
rnacentral:tRNA from 2 species